UACGGGGGGGGCAAGCGUUGUUCGGAAUUACUGGGCGUAAAGGGCGUGUAGGCGGCCAACUAAGUCCGACGUGAAAUCCCCAGGCUUAACCUGGGAACUGCGUCGGAUACUGGAUGGCUUGAAUCCGGGAGAGGGAUGCAGAAUUCCAGGUGUAGCGGUGAAAUGCAUAGAUAUCUGGAGGAAUACCGGUGGCGAAGGCGGCAUCCUGGACCGGCAUUGACGCUGAAGCGCGAAAGCUAGGGGAGCAAACGGG
rnacentral:rRNA from 1 species